AAAAUCUUUCAAACAGAAAAUUUACAUGUUUCGUAUUUCUUUUUGACUUGAUAUGUUAAAAUACGUUUGAAAUUCUUUGUCAUCUUCUCAAUGAAGCAGUCAAAUUUUUAAUAUAAUUCGUAAAAUAUUACAAGCUGUAAAUUUUAUCAAGUAACGUAGAAGUCGGAUAGUCCUAUAUAUUGUGAAGAGAAAAUAAUACAUUUGUAUCUACACAUGUUGUUAAGUUAAUCCCAAUACAUGAUAGUUUGCCAAUCCAAAUGGUUUAUGAGACAAAAGACAAUCAGGAAGAACUGAGAUCUAAGCCAUCUCAAUUUAAACACAUGUUGUGAAUCUCUGCGAUAAAUCAUUAUGAAAUUACAGAGAAGUAUAAAAUACAGUCAGCGAUCUUCAACUUCCAAAGCCUUCUGACAGUUGUGCUGUUGUUGAUAUGUACAUGUGCUUAUAUUAGAUCAAUAGCCCCAAGCCUUCUAGAUAAGAAUAAGGAAGGAUUGUUGGGAAUCUUCU